AUUGAACGCUGGCGGCAUGCCUUACACAUGCAAGUCGAACGGUAACAGGUCUUCGGAUGCUGACGAGUGGCGAACGGGUGAGUAAUACAUCGGAACGUGCCCAGACGUGGGGGAUAACGAGGCGAAAGCUUUGCUAAUACCGCAUACGAUCUAAGGAUGAAAGCAGGGGACCGCAAGGCCUUGUGCGUUUGGGGCGGCGGAUGGCAGAUUAGGUAGUUGGUGGGAUAAAAGCUUACCAAGCCGACGAUCUGUAGCUGGUCUGAGAGGACGACCAGCCACACUGGGACUGAGACACGGCCCAGACUCCUACGGGAGGCAGCAGUGGGGAAUUUUGGACAAUGGGCGAAAGCCUGAUCCAGCAAUGCCGCGUGCAGGAUGAAGGCCUUCGGGUUGUAAACUGCUUUUGUACGGAACGAAAAGGCUCUGGCUAAUACCUGGGGCACAUGACGGUACCGUAAGAAUAAGCACCGGCUAACUACGUG
rnacentral:rRNA from 1 species